rnacentral:rRNA from 1 species
UACGGGGGGGAGCAAGCGUUGUUCGGAUUUACUGGGCGUAAAGGGCGCGUAGGCGGCCACCGCAAGUCGACUGUGAAAUCUCCGGGCUUAACUCGGAAAGGUCAGCCGAUACUGCGGGGCUAGAGUGCAGAAGGGGCAACUGGAAUUCUCGGUGUAGCGGUGAAAUGCGUAGAUAUCGAGAGGAACACCUGCGGCGAAGGCGGGUUGCUGGGCGU